rnacentral:misc_RNA from 1 species
GAUGAAGAACGUAGCGAAAUGCGAUAAGUAGUGUGAAUUGCAGAAUUCAGUGAAUCAUCGAAUCUUUGAACGCACAUUGCGCCCCUUGGUAUUCCAUGGGGCAUGCCUGUUCGAGCGUCAUUUGUACCUUCAAGCUCUGCUUGGUGUUGGGUGUUUGUCUCGCCUCUGCGUGUAGACUCGCCUCAAAAUAAUUGGCAGCCGGCGUAUUGAUUUCGGAGCGCAGUACAUCUCGCGCUUUGCACUCAUAACGACGACGUCCAAAAGUACAUUUUUACACACUUGACCUCGGAUCAGGUAGGGAUACCCGCUGAACUUAAGCAUAUCAAUAAGCGGAGGA